rnacentral:rRNA from 1 species
GCUGGCGGCGUGCUAACACAUGCAAGUCGAGCGAGAAGCCGCCUUUGAACUUUCGAGUUAAAAGGUAAUGGUGGACAGCGGCGGACGGGUGAGUAACGCGUAAAUAACCUGGCAUACACACAGAGAUAGCCAUCGGAAACGGUGAUUAAUAUCUGAUGAAGCUUACUAGACAAAAGUCAAAUAAGUUAAAGAAUAUUGGUGUAUGAUGGAUUUGCGUUUGAUUAGCUAGUUGGUAAGGUAAGAGCUUACCAAGGCGAUGAUCAAUAGCCGGCCUGAGAGGGUGAUCGGCCACACUGGAACUGAGACACGGUCCAGACUCCUACGGGAGGCAGCAGUGGGGAAUAUUGCACAAUGGAGGGAACUCUGAUGCAGCAACGCCGCGUGAAUGAGGAAGGCUUUCGAGUCGUAAAGUCUGUUUUAAGGGAAGAAGAGUGACGGUACUUAGAGCAAGCCAGGAGACCACGCGCCAGCAGCCCCGGUAAUACGUAAGUGGCAAGCGUUAUCCGGAAUUACUGGGCAUAAAGCGUUCGUAGGCGGUUAAGAAAGCCAGGUAGUGAAAGCCACAGGCCUAACCUGUGUAAGCUAAUGGAACUUCUUAACUUGAGUACAGUAGAGGAAAGUGGAAUUCCUAGUGUAGUAGUGAAAUGCGUAGAUAUUAGGGAGAACAUCAGUAGCGAAGGCGACUUUCUGGACUGUAACUGACGCUGAGGGACGAAAGCGUGGGUAGCGAACAGGAUUAGAUACCCUGGUAGUCCACGCCGUAAACGAUGGAUAUUUGAUGUUGGGUGUCAAAAGCUCAGUGUCGGAGCAAAUGUAUUAAAUAUCCCGCCUGGGGAGUACGGUCGCAAGACUGAAACUCAAAAGAAUUGACGGGGACCCGCACAAGCAGCGGAGCAUGUGGUUUAAUUCGAAGCAACGCGAAGAACCUUACCAAAUCUUGACAUACCAAAGCUAUCUGAGUAAGAUCGGAGUUCCUUUUGGACUUUGGUUACAGGUGGUGCAUGGUUGUCGUCAGCUCGUGUCGUGAGAUGUUGGGUUAAGUCCCGUAACGAGCGUAACCCUUAUUUUUAGUUGCUAACAGGUCAAGCUGAGGACUCUAAAGAGACUGCCGAUGAAGAAAUCGGAGGAAGGUGGGGAUGACGUCAAAUCAUCAUGCCCCUUAUGAUUUGGGCUACACACGUGCUACAAUGGUCGGUACAACGGGUAAGCUAAGGAGUGAUCUGGAGCUAAUCCUAAUAAACCGAUCUCAGUUCGGAUUGCAGGUUGCAACUCACCUGCAUGAAGUUGGAGUUGCUAGUAAUCGCGGAUCAGAAUGUCGCGGUGAAUGCGUUCCCGGGUCUUGUACACACCGCCCGUCACACCAUGGAAGUUGGAAGCGCCCGAAGU